GGGCUUCGGUUUUGUUGAGAGAAAGAAAUUGAACCCUAAUUCCUGUGUCCGAAGGUCAGGAAGGGAGAAGGAAAAAAUGGCACGUGUCCUCUCUGUAACCAUCUAAAACUCUUUUCUAUUCACUUCUUUCGACCAUAACGAUCUCUUUUCUUUCUCUGAAACCGUAGACGACCGAGCUUCCAUGCAUUCACGAUAAGCCAUCAACUCAAGCUUUAAAUCAGGUCUCAUAAACUCUUUUCUCCUCAUUUAUCAUCUGCAAAAAAAAUUUAUAUACAGUGAGCAUUUGAUUUGCUUCAGAUCUGAAAAGGCUGUCGGCCCCAAUAUCAACUCCUAUACCGCUUAAGAAUCGUUUGAUUGGAAGAGGCAGUAUUUAAGGCUCUUCAAAAAGAAACAAACUUCAAUACUUCAAGCGAUUCGCUUUUUGAGGGUAGAUGGAAAAUUAACGGCAAGUCUUAGAAAGAAUUUGACUUAGAAUGUUGAACAAGUUCAAACAUUCCAAGGCAGAACAAACCACUUUGGCCUCUAAACUACCUUCUUCCCAACUUAAUUAUCCACAACAACACAAUCACAGGAAAAGUAA